rnacentral:rRNA from 1 species
GAGUUUGAUCUUGGCUCAGGAUGAACGCUGGCGGCGUGCCUAACACAUGCAAGUCGAACGAAGCAAUCGGGAUGAAGUUUUCGGAUGGAUUCCUGGUUGACUGAGUGGCGGACGGGUGAGUAACGCGUGGAUAACCUGCCUCACACUGGGGGAGUAACAGUUAGAAAUAGGCUGCUAAUACCGCAUAAGCGCACAGUACCGCAUGGUACGGUGUGAAAACCCAAGGUGGUGUGAGAUGGA